rnacentral:tRNA from 1 species
GCGGGAGUAGCUCAGGGGUAGAGCAUUAGCUUCCCAAGCUAAGGGUCGUGGGUUCGAUUCCCAUCUCCCGCU